CAAUGGGGGCGAGCCUGAUGCAGCGACGCCGCGUGCGGGAUGACGGCCUUCGGGUUGUAAACCGCUUUCAGCUCUGACGAAGCUUUUGUGACGGUAGGAGCAGAAGAAGCACCGGCUAACUACGUGCCAGCAGCCGCGGUAAUACGUAGGGUGCGAGCGUUGUCCGGAAUUAUUGGGCGUAAAGAGCUUGUAGGCGGCUUGUCGCGUCUGCUGUGAAAACCCGGGGCUUAACCCCGGGCCUGCAGUGGGUACGGGCAGGCUAGAGUGUGGUAGGGGAGACUGGAAUUCCUGGUGUAGCGGUGGAAUGCGCAGAUAUCAGGAGGAACACCGAUGGCGAAGGCAGGUCUCUGGGCCAUUACUGACGCUGAGAAGCGAAAGCGUGGGGAGCGAACAGGAUUAGAUACCCUGGUAGUCCACGCCGUAAACGUUGGGCGCUAGGUGUGGGUCCCAUUCCACGGGGUCCGUGCCGCAGCUAACGCAUUAAGCGCCCCGCCUGGGGAGUACGGCCGCAAGGCUAAAACUCAAAUGAA
rnacentral:rRNA from 1 species